AAGGAAGUAGCAGAGUGGCUUAUGUGGGUGACUUGAAAUCACCAGACGGGGGUUCGAUUCCCUCCUUUCUUG
rnacentral:tRNA from 1 species